GCUGAAUCGCCCAGCACGUGGUGGGGCUCAGGGAGAGGUUAAAAAAUGAAGGUCCUUGGCCCAACGCUUAGCCAUGAAAGGAACCAACUAUUGAUACACCCUGUGAGAAUCUCCAGAGAAUUAGGCUGAGUGAAAAAAGCCAAUCCCCAAAGAUUUCCUGCUGUGUGUUUCCGUGAAAAGCUUAAUAAAAAGAAAAGAAAGACGGUUCAAGGCCAACGAGAUCUCCUUGGCAGAAAGCACUUUUGGGUUUGGGCUACCUCAUUUGGUGGCCCACCUGCCAUUGUAACCUUCCCAAAGACCCUCCCCAAACUGGUUGAUUUCUUGUGUCCUAGGAUGGUCCUAUAAAGCAAAAAAGUGAGAAUAUGACCCCUCUCGUGCCAGCAGCGAACGGAGCUAUCUUGUCUUGUGAGCCCAGGAGAUCCUGGAGGCAGCUUUCAUUUACUUUAUCAAAGAAAAAAGUGCAUGCGGCAUUUCUGAAUCUACUAGAAUGUCCCCAAAGAUGAAAUUGGUUGUCUUUCCCCCUUUCUGACAACAGGUGCAGGGAGGACGCAGCCGCACUUGACAUCUCAGAGACGACAGCACCAUCUUGUGGCAGUGAGGAGCAAUCACGAAUGUGGAUUUUAUUCCCUUGGAAAUGGGAGCUGGCCUGCCCUCAUUCUCUGCGCCUGAGUGGUGGAAGCCCCAGCAGUUGAUUCUAGGAUAAUUUAAUAGGAGCCCAUCCACAAAAAGGAAAUAACAGAACUUCCUGCUAAUCUGGUGAUGGUGGCUGAGUAUUAACUGUGAAGGAAUUUAGAACAAGUCUGCCCAAACGUGCCACUUUGGCAUGUGGACUAGUUUGAGCUGAAGGUAGUCAAGACCCUGAGGGCUCAAGAGAAAAUUUUACCCAUUCCUUAACUACCUAGAAAAAUCUAAAUUGAGGUCUUUCCCCAAACAAGGGCUAUUACAAGAUAUGAAUUUUAUUAUCUGAGUGAUCCAUCCACAUAGCAGGCAAAUUAAUCCCCAACAUCUGCUCUCCUGUCCUCCUGUGAGUUGCCUCCACCCUUUGCAGCCCCAGGCCCCCACCCCAUUCCUCAGCUCAGGGUGGCACACAAACCUCAUGUGAC